rnacentral:rRNA from 1 species
ACAGCAGUAGCCACGGUAAAACGUAGGUGGCAAGCGUUGUCCGGAAUUAUUGGGCGUAAAGGGCUCGCAGGCGGUUUCUUAAGUCUGAUGUGAAAGCCCCCGGCUCAACCGGGGAGGGUCAUUGGAAACUGGGAAACUUGAGUGCAGAAGAGGAGAGUGGAAUUCCACGUGUAGCGGUGAAAUGCGUAGAGAUGUGGAGGAACACCAGUGGCGAAGGCAACUCUCUGGUCUGUAACUGACGCUGAGGAGCGAAAGCGUGGGGAGCGAACAGGAUUAGAUACCCGGGUAGUCCCUGUCUCUUAUAC